rnacentral:tRNA from 1 species
GGCUCGGUAGCUUGAUUGGUAAAGCACUUGUCUAGUAUACAAGAGUCGUGAGUUCGAGUCCCACCUGAGCAC